AAGUCGUAAAUUGAAUGCUGUAAAAUUUUGAUUGAUGAGCUAGUGAAAACUAAUUGGAUUGAUUGUCGAUCUAAAAAAUAAUUAAUUGUAAGGUUUUAAUUAGUAAGCUAGAAAAAACCAAUUAUGUUGGAUUGUAAAUAUGUGAAAAUAAUCAAACUAUAAUCUUAUAUGAUUAUAAUUAAAAUUUUCAAGUAGAUUGAUUUGGGGAA
rnacentral:lncRNA from 1 species